AUUGAACGCUGGCGGCAUGCCUAACACAUGCAAGUCGAACGGCAGCACGGCAGUAGCAAUACUGUGGGUGGCGAGUGGCGGACGGGUGAGGAAUACGUCGGAAUCUGCCCAGUCGUGGGGGAUAACUAGCCGAAAGGUUAGCUAAUACCGCAUACGUCCGAGAGGUGAAAGCGGGGGACCGCAAGGCCUCGCGCGAUUGGAUGAGCCGACGUCGGAUUAGCUAGUUGGAGGGGUAAAGGCCACCAAGGCGACGAUCCGUAGCUGGUCUGAGAGGAUGAUCAGCCACACUGGAACUGAGACACGGUCCAGACUCCUACGGGAGGCAGCAGUGGGGAAUAUUGGACAAUGGGCGAAAGCCUGAUCCAGCCACGCCGCGUGGGUGAUGAAGGCCUCGG
rnacentral:rRNA from 1 species